GAUGAACGCUGGCGGCGUGCUUAACACAUGCAAGUCGAACGAUGAACCUCACUUGUGGGGGGAUUAGUGGCGAACGGGUGAGUAACACGUGAGUAACCUGCCCUUGACUCUGGGAUAAGCCUGGGAAACCGGGUCUAAUACUGGAUACGACCUUCUGGCGCAUGCCAUGUUGGUGGAAAGCUUUUGUGGUUUUGGAUGGACUCGCGGCCUAUCAGCUUGUUGGUGGGGUAAUGGCCUACCAAGGCGACGACGGGUAGCCGGCCUGAGAGGGUGACCGGCCACACUGGGACUGAGACACGGCCCAGACGCCUACGGGAGGCAGCAGUGGGGAAUAUUGCACAAUGGGCGCAAGCCUGAUGCAGCGACGCCGCGUGAGGGAUGAAGGCCUUCGGGGUGUAAACCUCUUUCAGUAGGGAAGAAGCCGGCUUUUGGGUUGGUGACGGUACCUGCAGAAGAAGCGCCGGCUAACUACGUG
rnacentral:rRNA from 1 species